CAUUUAGGUUAUUAAAAAAAAGUUAAUAAAAUUAUUUCUUAUCUAUCGUCACUCUCUUCUCUUUUUUGCUUUUAGGGUUUCUGUAUUAUAUGGCUUGAUCAGAAAUUUUAACGGCAACAGUAAAUCUCAGGUUGAAGCAACGCAGCCAUGGAGCUUUCUCGUUUAUGCAGAAGUGUUUCUUGUUUACUAUUGUCAAGCAAUACAACAUUGCUAUCAAACCUUUAAUUUUAAGUUACUUUUUUAAAAGAUAUAGAGAUUCCAAAGGCAUUGUCGUGUCGUUCACUCAUCGAAGCUGCUGCUGUAUUUUUCUCCUGCCGCGUUUGUCUUCCCUGCUGCAGUUGUCGUUCAUCUUCUGCUCUUUCCUACAGUCUCUGCCGAAGUCGUUUCCUUCCUGCCAUCAGUUCUAUUCAGAAACAGAGGUUAGUAAUGAGCAUGUUGUGUUCUUUUUUAUGUAAAUUUAUGGAAACGACAUUAUACUUUACAAGCGUUUUUGAGCAUCUGUUAUUAGCCACAAUUUCAAAUGUGAGUGCAUUAAAUGACAAUUCAAGAUUGUAUUAUUAUGUCCAAUUUGUAGUUUCUUCUUGCUAUUUUCUUUGUCUCAUCUUUCAAGAUACAAAACACUAAAAGCGGUCAACAUUGUUUAUCUAAUAACCAGACAUUCAAGAUUGUUCAUAUUAACUCUUUUACUUUUUAUUUUUGAUAGUUAAUCAGUUAAUUACUCUUCAAAGUAAAGAUUUCU